rnacentral:misc_RNA from 1 species
UGCAGUGAUUUUGUGAUGACCAGAAGCAUUCAAUGCCGAGAAAUGAUUGAAGAUGUACAGAGACAUAUGGCAGGGUUGAGGUUUCAGGACCGCAAGAACACAGGUUCUUACAACUAUCCUGCAGCGAACCAGACCCAUCAAACUCCAAGAUCAAGUCCACAGCCUUCAGUUGAUCCUCAAAAUGUACCCCUUCGGCCCCAAACACCUUACUACC